GCCAUAUUGGAAAAGGAGGCAAUCUUCAGUUCUUGUAAUAAGGGGAGUAGAAAGAAUGAAAGAAGAAUCCUGGAUGCCUGAUGGUGUAGUGGAGCCACUAUGCCAAACCGAGCACCACCUACCUUAGGACGCUUUAUAAGGAAAACCAGCCUUUGGAAAGGAAAAUGCCUUCCCCAAUCUCAAAUUCAAUCUAACUUGGGAGAAUGAAACUGCCUUCCCGAUUUAAGAAACCAAAUGAGACAAGCAUCCUGAGUCAGCUGGGUUGCUCUGAGACCCAUCAGAGCAUCAGAAGAGCAGACCCUGCCUCCACGAGAGUUGUAAUAACAACGACAGCUGUCGUUCAGGGCGUUCCGACUGUGUACCAGGCUCACAGUGGUUUUCAUUUGUCAGCUGACUUCCUCCUCCCAUCAGCCUUGUGAGGUUGGUGGCUGGAGAACUGAGUAGUCAGCCAGUGGGAGAGGAUCACCAGCUACACCAAAGUGUCCUAAGGAUCAAGAGUAACCAGUGAAUCUCCUUUCU